CCUUCUGUGCAGGAUCUGCCCAGUUUUAUUUUGUAUUGAGAGGUACCACGCCAGUUGUCCCUGGAAGUUAUAUAAAAUGAGUGAAGGUAAAGAAACUCUUUGUCUUCUCUUGAAUAGCCGGAUGUAUCUGAUUCAGGAUCAUCACUGAAGAUAACUAUCGGUUUUUUAUAAACACCAUAGAAAUGAUCCUUGACCUGCCCACCUUAGAGAGCAAUUUCUCAUAAAGAAUGACUAAAUAAUGGGCUGCUCUGGCCACAAAAAGACCACAUGAUGUUCUGUGUGGUUCUGGAUGCCAGGUACCAGAAUAAAAGAAGCCAAGGAGAUUCUGAGAGACUCAGUUUUCUCAGAUGUGGUCUAUAUCACACCUGUUCAAGAAAUCUAGACUGCAGAGAAGUGGAGGAACUUGCCUAAUGUUAUAGAGCCCACAGGGCAGUGAACCGCACCAACAGAAACGCCUUCCGUGCAGAGGAGCUUAUUUCGUGCGCAUCUUUCCCUUACCUCUUAAGAGCCCGGUAUCUAAUGAAGCUUUUUUGCAAAAGGU